GUUAUGGCUUACCAAGGCGACGACGGGUAGCCGGCCUGAGAGGGUGUCCGGCCACACUGGGACUGAGAUACGGCCCAGACUCCUACGGGAGGCAGCAGUGGGGAAUAUUGCACAAUGGGCGAAAGCCUGAUGCAGCGACGCCGCGUGGGGGAUGAAGGCCUUCGGGUUGUAAACCUCUUUCAGCAGGGACGAAGCGUGAGUGACGGUACCUGCAGAAGAAGCACCGGCUAACUACGUGCCAGCAGCCGCGGUAAUACGUAGGGUGCGAGCGUUGUCCGGAAUUACUGGGCGUAAAGAGUUCGUAGGCGGUUUGUCGCGUCGUUUGUGAAAACCCGGGGCUCAACUUCGGGCUUGCAGGCGAUACGGGCAGACUUGAGUGUUUCAGGGGAGACUGGAAUUCCUGGUGUAGCGGUGAAAUGCGCAGAUAUCANGAGGAACACCGGUGGCGAAGGCGGGUCUCUGGGUAGUAACUGACGCUGAGGAACGAAAGCGUGGGUAGCAAACAGGAUUAGAUACCCUGGUAGUCCACGCCGUAAACGGUGGGCGCUAGGUG
rnacentral:rRNA from 1 species